rnacentral:rRNA from 1 species
UACAAGGGGGGCUAGCGGUAUUCGGAAUCAUUGGGCGUAAAGGGUACGUAGACGGCGUGCUAAGUUAGUUGUUAAAUCUCUCGGCCUAACCGAGAAUCAGCGAUUAAUACUGGCGCACUAGAGGGUGAGAGAGAGGAGUGGAAUUCUCGGAGUAGCGGUAAAAUGCGUAGAUAUCGAGAGGAACACCGAUGGCGACGGCAGCUCCUUGGCUCAUUCCUGACGUUGAUGUACGAAUGCGUGGGUAGCAAACAGG